AAAACAAAACAUAGAAACAACAAAAUAGGACCAACUUAAACCCGGUACCGAUCGUAACAACUCGAAUAUCUCCAUCAACAGUACUUCGUCUAAUUGGGCUUGAACUGGCAACUGCUGUAUCAUCCUUAAGCAAUCUAAUUCUACCAACACACACAAAUAUUUGCCUUGCAGAUAUUAUGAAGAGAAAGACAAGGAAAAGCGUCAAAUUGAUGCAA
rnacentral:misc_RNA from 1 species